UACCAGCAGCCCCGAGUGGUCGGGACGAUUUAUUGGGCCUAAGGCAAUCCGUAGCCGGUUCUGCAAGUCCCCGUUAAAUCCAGCUGCUCAACAGAUGGGCCGCGGAGGAUACUACAGAGCUAGGAGGCAGGAGAGGCGAAGCGGUACGUCAGUGGGUAGGGGUAAAAUCCGUUGAUCCAUUGAAGACCACCAGUGGCGAAGGCGGCGUCACUGGCCCGGUACUGACGCUGAGGUGCGAAAGCGUGGGGAGCAAGCAGG
rnacentral:rRNA from 1 species